UGGAAGUGGUGUUUUGAAGGGCAGGG
rnacentral:piRNA from 1 species